GCCGGCUUAGCUCAGUUGGUAGAGCAGCGCACUUGUAAUGCGAAGGUCAACAGUUCGAUUCCGUUAGCCGGCACCA
rnacentral:tRNA from 1 species